GCGAUUGGGCUGGAUCAGAGGUAGAGCAUCUGCCUUACAUGCAGAAAACCUCCUGUGGUUCAAUCCCCAGGUAGGGCU